CCUACGGGGGGCAGCAGUGGGGAAUAUUGCACAAUGGGGGGAACCCUGAUGCAGCAACGCCGCGUGAGUGAAGAAGUAUUUCGGUAUGUAAAGCUCUAUCAGCAGGGAAGAAGAUGACGGUACCUGAGUAAGAAGCCCCGGCUAACUACGUGCCAGCAGCCGCGGUAAUACGUAGGGGGCAAGCGUUAUCCGGAUUUACUGGGUGUAAAGGGAGCGUAGACGGCGAGGCAAGUCUGGAGUGAAAGCCCGGGGCUCAACCCCGGGACUGCUUUGGAAACUGCCUGGCUGGAGUGCUGGAGAGGCAAGCGGAAUUCCUAGUGUAGCGGUGAAAUGCGUAGAGAUCAUACAGAACACCGAUUGCGAAGGCAGCUUACCAAGCUACUUCUGACGUUGAGGCACGAAAGCGUGGGGAGCAAACAGGAUUAGAUACCCCGGUAGUC
rnacentral:rRNA from 1 species